AGGGAAUCUUCCACAAUGGGCGAAAGCCUGAUGGAGCAACGCCGCGUGGGUGAAGAAGGUCUUCGGAUCGUAAAACCCUGUUGUUAGAGAAGAAAGUGCGUGAGAGUAACUGUUCACGUUUCGACGGUAUCUAACCAGAAAGCCACGGCUAACUACGUGCCAGCAGCCGCGGUAAUACGUAGGUGGCAAGCGUUAUCCGGAUUUAUUGGGCGUAAAGGGAACGCAGGCGGUCUUUUAAGUCUGAUGUGAAAGCCUUCGGCUUAACCGGAGUAGUGCAUUGGAAACUGGGAGGCUUGAGUGCAGAAGAGGAGAGUGGAACUCCAUGUGUAGCGGUGAAAUGCGUAGAUAUAUGGAAGAACACCAGUGGCGAAAGCGGCUCUCUGGUCUGUAACUGACGCUGAGGUUCGAAAGCGUGGGUAGCAAAC
rnacentral:rRNA from 1 species